AUUGAACGCUGGCGGCAGGCCUAACACAUGCAUGUCGAACGAGUGGCGGACGGGUGAGUAAUGUCUGUGAAACUGCCCGUUGGAGGGGGUUAACUCCUGGAAACGGUAGCUAAUACCGCAUACCAUUGGAUGUGCCCUGAGGGGAUUAGCUUUUAGGUGGGGUAACGGCUCACUUAGGCGACGAUCCCUAGCUUGUCUGAGAGGAUGACAAGCCACGCGGGAACGGAGACACGGUCCAGACUCCUACGAGAGGCAGAAGUGGGGAGUAUUGCACACUGAGCACAAGCCUGAUGCAGCCAUGCCGCGUGUAUGAAGAAGGCCUUCGGGUUGUAAUGUACUUUCAGCGAGGAGGCGUUACUCGCAGAAGAAGCACCGGCUAACUCCGUGCCAGCAGCCGCGGUAAUAC
rnacentral:rRNA from 1 species